CCAAUAGCGUAUAUUAAAGUUGUUGCAGUUAAAAAGCUCGUAGUUGAAUUUCGGGGUUAGUAAGUUGGUCAUGCCUUCGGUAUGUACUGGCUUUACUGAUUCCUCCUUCUUGACGAACCGGGAUGUCAUUAAUUUGGUGUUGCGGGAAAUCAGGACUGUUACUUUGAAAAAAUUAGAGUGUUUAAAGCAGGCUAACGCUUGAAUACAUUAGCAUGGAAUAAUGAAAUAGGACGUUAAUCCUAUUUUGUUGGUUUCUAGGAUCGACGUAAUGAUUAAUAGGGAUAGUUGGGGGCAUUAGUAUUCAAUUGUCAGAGGUGAAAUUCUUGGAUUUAUUGAAGACUAACUACUGCGAAAGCAUUUGCCAAGGAUGUUUUCAUUAAUCAAGAACGAAAGUUAGGGGAUCGAAGACGAUCAGAUACCGUCGUAGUCUUAACCAUAAACUAUGCCGACUAGGGAUCGGAUGAUGUUAUCUUAAUGACUCAUUCGGCGCCUUACG
rnacentral:rRNA from 1 species